AGAUAAGACAGCUGAAUGAUAGUCGGGCUGAAGACUCUACUUGACUAGCUGAGAGGAGGUGCAUGGCCGUCGUCAGUCGUACUGUGAAGCAUCCUGUUAAGUCAGGCAACGAGCGAGACCCACGCCAACAGUUGCCAGCUCGUCCUCCGGGAUGGUGGGGACACUGUUGGGACCGCCUCUGCUAAAGAGGAGGAAGGAAUGGGCAACGGUAGGUCAGCAUGCCCCGAAUUAUCUGGGCUACACGCGGGCUACAAUGGGUGGGACAAUGGGUAUCGACACCGAAAGGUGAAGGCAAUCUCCUAAACCCAUCCGUAGUUCGGAUUGUGGGCUGCAACUCGCCCACAUGAAGCUGGAAUCUGUAGUAAUCGUGUCUCAAAAUGGCACGGUGAAUAUGUCCCUGCUCCUU
rnacentral:rRNA from 1 species